rnacentral:rRNA from 1 species
CCUACGGGAGGCAGCAGUGAGGAAUAUUGGUCAAUGGGCGGGAGCCUGAACCAGCCAAGUCGCGUGAGGGAAGACGGUCCUACGGAUUGUAAACCUCUUUUGCCGGGGAGCAACGGGGUCCUUGCGAGGGCCCGAUGAGAGUACCCGGAGAAAAAGCAUCGGCUAACUCCGUGCCAGCAGCCGCGGUAAUACGGAGGAUGCGAGCGUUAUCCGGAUUUAUUUGGUUUAAAGGGUCCGGAGGCGGACUGUUAAGUCAGCGGUAAAAUGUCGGGGUUCAACCCCGGCCUGCCGUUGAAACUGGCGGCCUCGAGUGGGCGAGAAGUAUGCGGAAUGCGUGGUGUAGCGGUGAAAUGCAUAGAUAUCACGCAGAACUCCGAUUGCGAAGGCAGCAUACAGGCGCCCGACUGACGCUGAGGCACGAAAGCGUGGGUAUCGAACAGGAUUAGAUACCCGAGUAGUC